rnacentral:rRNA from 1 species
CUCAGGAUGAACGCUAGCGGCAGGCCUAAUACAUGCAAGUCGAGCGGCAGUUGUUCUAGCAAUAGAAUGAUGAGAGCGGCGCACGGGUGCGUAACGCGUAUGCAACCUACCUUAUACUGGGAGAUAGCCCGGAGAAAUCUGGAUUAAUACCCCAUGGCACAUAUUUAGGGCAUCUGAGAUAUGUUAAAGAUUUAUCGGUAUAAGAUGGGCAUGCGUCUGAUUAGCUAGUUGGCGGUGUAACGGACCACCAAGGCGACGAUCAGUAGGGGUUCUGAGAGGAAGGUCCCCCACACUGGCACUGAGAUACGGGCCAGACUCCUACGGGAGGCAGCAGUAGGGAAUAUUGGGCAAUGGUCGGAAGACUGACCCAGCCAUGCCGCGUGCAGGAAGACGGCCCUCUGGGUUGUAAACUGCUUUUAUCUGGGAAGAAAAAGGCCAUGCGUGGCAAAUUGCCGGUACCAGAUGAAUAAGCACCGGCUAACUCCGUGCCAGCAGCCGCGGUAAUACGGAGGGUGCAAGCGUUGUCCGGAUUUAUUGGGUUUAAAGGGUGCGUAGGCGGCUGAAUAAGUCAGCGGUGAAAGACUCCGGCUUAACCGGAGCAGUGCCGUUGAUACUGUUUAGCUUGAGUUCUGCAGGGGUACAUGGAAUUGAUGAUGUAGCGGUGAAAUGCAUAGAUAUCAUCAGGAACACCGAUAGCGAAGGCAUUGUAC